UUUGCUACCCGGCGAGUUCUGGUCUGUUGGUGAUUAUCUUCCGGACAACAAGAGGCAUCAACAUGGUUGUCCCAACCGGGAGAUCUGUGGUCUUCGUGACUGGAAACGCAAAUGAACUAGAAGAGGGGAUUCAGAUCCUGGGGGACAAGUUUCCCUACAAACUAGUGUCCAAGAAGAUUGACUGUGAGUACACCUUAUCAAUGGUUCCUGAAUAAACUGAAGCCAGAAGGUAAGCAAUGACUCAUAUAAGCUACAAAGCCUAUGUUAUGUAUAAAUGAAUACAGUUAGUUACAGUAAAUGUAAAGUUACCAAUUAUUAUGUAAGCGUGUGUGAACUGUUAAGGACCCAGUUUGUUUCUAAUGAUGAACUUAGCCAUAAGAUGCUUUUUAAAAUUAUAUAGGAUCCUAUGGUUCUAAUGAUGAACUUAGCCUUAAGAUGCCUUUGGGCAUCGGCCCAGGUCAGUUUAAGAUGCUGGGUUUGAGGAUAAGUCGGCCUGGACUUUGUGUACCUUUGCCUUCUGUCCAGGGAAAGAGGAACUGGUACAACUCUUCAGAGGGAUAACUGAGGUAAGAAUAUCACACACACACACACCACACUGAACAUCUCUGCAUGCUUGCUCUAAUAUACAGUACCAGUCAAAGGUUUGGACACACCUACCCAUUCCAGGGUUUUUCUUUAUUUUUAAUAUUUUCUUCAUUGUAGAAUAAUAGUGAAGACAUUUCAAACUAUGAAAUAACACAUGAUAUCUUGUAGUAACCAAAAAAGUGUUAAACAAAUCAAAAUAGAUUUUAUAUUUGAAAUGAUUCUAAGUAGCCACCCUUUGCCUUGACAGCUUUGCACACUCUUUGCGUCCUCUCAACCAGCUUCAUGAGGUAGUCACCAGGAAUGCAUUUCAAUUAACUGCUGUGCCUUGUUAAAAGUUAUGUGUGGAAUUUCUUUACUUCAAUGCGUUUGAGCCAAUCAGUUGUGUUGUGACAAGGUAGGGGUGAUAUACAGAAGAGCCCUUUCUGGUAAAAGACUAAGUCCGUAUAAUGGCAAGAACAGCUCAAAUAAGCAAAGAGAAAUGGCCGUCCAUCAUUACUUUAAGAUGGUCAGUCAAUCAGGAAAAUUUCAAGAACUUCUAAAGUUUAUUCAAGUGCAGUUGCAAAAACCAUCAAGGGCUAUGAUUAAACAGGCUCUCAUGAAAGGAAGACCCAGAGUUACCUCUGUUGCAGAGUAUAAGUUCAUUAGAGUUACCAGCCUCAGAAAUUGCAGCCCAAAUAAAUGCUUCAGAGUUCAAGUAACAGACACAUCUCAACAUCAACUGUUCAGAGGAGACUGAAUAUUGAUGAUGGUCCCGGAGAGGAAGGCUGCUGUUUUAUGGGCUCUUAACCAACUGUGCUAUUUUGUUAGAUUUUUCUUAUUGUUUGUAACUUAUUUUGUACAUAAUGUUGCUGCUAUCGUCUCUUAUGACGGUAGCAGCUUCUAGACAUCAGAGCUUCUGGACAUCAGAACAGCGAUUACUCACCUCGAUUUGGACAAAGAUUUUUCUUUAAAGAGUUGGACUGGAAGGAUAUACUCCAAACACCCGAACAAGCCCUCAUCCCUGUCAUUCACAGGUGAAAGAAACAUAGAUUUUGUGGAACGAGAUCGGGGUGCCUUGUGAGGAUCAGGCGACGAGAGGCUAAUCUGCCUUUGCCAUCUGUACUGUUAGCCAACGUUCAAUCGCUGGAAAAUAAAUGGGACGAACUAAAAGCAUGUAUAUCCUACCAACAGAACAUUACAAACUGUAAUAUCUUAUGUUUCACUGAGUCAUGGCUGAACAACAACAUUAAUAACAUACAGCUGGCGGGUUAUACACACUAUCGGCAGGAUAGAACAGCAGCCUCUGGUAAGACACGGGGUGGUGGCCUAUGUAUAUUUGUAAACAACAGCUAGUGCACGAUAUCUAAGGAAGUGUCAAGGGUUUUCUCGCCUGAGGUAGAGUAUCUCAUGACAAGCUGUAGACCACACUAUCUACCUUGAGAGUUUAUCUGUAUUUUUCGUAGCUGUCUUACAUACCAUCACAGACCGAAGCUGGCACAAAGAUCGCACUCAAUGAGCUGAAUACCGCCAUAAGCAAACAGGAAAACGCUCAUCCAGAGGUGGCACUCCUAGUGGCCGGGGACAUUAAUGCAGGGAAACUUAAAUCAGUUUUGACCUAAUUUCCAUCUGCUAAUCAAAUGGCUACUCAGACUAUUUGCAUUGCAUCAAAAAGGUUCUUUAUUAUAAACCAAAACUAUUAACUUUAAACAAAGAAAAAGGAAUGAGGUGUGAAAGUAUCAUAAUGUAAGGUGUAUGUAAAGUGCAGGGAUGCAUGAAUCUGUGUGUGUGAAUGACUGAGUCAAAACUACAAAGGAACAAACAAAACAGGAUCAUACCUGGAAGAGCAGAGAGGGAGAGAUUAGUGAAGCCGUUUAAAUACCCUGAGCCCAGGUGACUCCAAUCACUAACGACCCUCCUCUGCCUGCAGGAGGAACCGCCCCUGCACUGCAGAGGGGGGGGGUGUGACAAUAGUCACUUUAAUAACUCUACCUACAUGUACAUAUUACCUCGACACCGGUACCCCCUGUACAUAGCCUCGCUAUUGUUAUUUUACUGCUGCUCUUUAAUUAUUUGUUACUUUUAUCUCCUACUUUUUUAGGUAUUUUCUUAACUGCAUUAUUGGUUAAGGGCUUGUAAGUAAGCAUUCCACUGUACCUGUUGUUUUCGGCGCUUGUGACAAAUAAAACUUUGUUUGACUCUGUGAAUCAGGCCUUCAUGGAAGAAUUGCUGCAAAGAAACUUCUACUAAAGGACACCAAUAAUAAGAAGAGACUUGCUUGGGCCAAGAAACACGAGCAAUGAACAUUAGACCGGUGGAAAUCUGUCCUUUGGUCUGAUGAGUCCAAAUGUGAGAUUUUUGGUUUUAACCGCUGUGUCUUUGUGAGACGCAAAGUAGGUGAACAGAUGAUCUCCGCAUGUGUGGUUCCCACCGUGAAGCAUGGAGGAUGAGGUGGUGUGUGGGUGCUUUGCUGGUGAAACAGUCAGUGAUUUAUUUAGAAUUCAAGGCACACUUAACCAGCAUGGCUACCACAGCAUUCUGCAGCUAUACGCCAUCCCAUCUGGUUUGGGCUUAGUGGGACUAUCAUUACUUUUUAAACAGGACAAUGACCCAACACACCUCCAGGCUGUGUAAAGGCUAUUUGACUAAGAAGGAGAGUCAUGGAGUGCUGCAUCAGAUGACCUGGCCUACACAAUCACCUGACCUCAACUCAAUUGCGAUGGUUUGGGAUGAGUUGGACCACAGAGUGAAGGAAAAUCAGCCAACGGUCAACCAAAUCGUUUCUAGUCAUCUCAUCCUUCCAGGCUUUUCCUUCUCUUGACUUUAUAAUGCGAUUGGCAACUUUCAUAAAUUAGGUGCAUUACAUAAUUGAAUAACAUAGUCAGACUGUUAGCUUACACUGGGGUUUGCGUGGUCUGGUGUGAAUUUCAUCAGUAGUGGAUUUUAUACGUUUUAAUAGAAAAGGGCGGUUCCAUGACGCCGACGUAAUGUCCAUGCUCACGUGGGUGUGGCCAUUGAUUUGGUUAACUUCAUAUGAAAAACCCAUACUCUCAUUUAAAGGUUAACAUCACAUGACAUCUUUUGUCACUAAAGCACUAAAUAAUAACAAUUAGUGCUAAAUACAGCUGCUAGAAUCCUGACGAGAACUAAACAAUUUGAUCAUAUUACUCCAGUGCUAGCCUCCCUACACUGGCUUCCUGUUAUGACAAGGGCUGAUUUCAAGGUUUUACUGCUAACCUACAAAGCAUUACAUGGGCUUGCUCCUACCUAUCUCUCUGAUUUGGUCCUGCCGUACAUACAUACGUACGCUACGGUCACAAGACGCAGGCCUCCUAAUUGUCCCUAGAAUUUCAAAGCAAACAGCUGGAGGCAGGGCUUUCUCCUAUAGAGCUCAAUUUUUAUGGAAUGGUCUGCCUACCCAUGUGAGAGACGCAGACUCGGUCUCAACCUUUAAGUCUUUACUGAAGACUCAUCUCUUCAGUGGGUCAUAUGAUUGAGUGUAGUCUGGCUCUGGAGCAACGAACCGCCCUUGCUGUCUCUGCCUGGCCGGAUCCCCUCUUUCCACUGGGAUUCUCUGCCUCUAACCCUAUUACAGGGGCUGAGUCACUGGCUUACUGGUGCUCUUUCAUGCCGUACCUAGGAGGGGUGCGUCACUUGAGUGGGUUGAGUCACUGAUGUGAUCUUCCUGUCUGGGUUGGCGCCCCCCCUUGGGUUGUGCCAUGGCGGAGAUCUUUGUGGGCUAUACUCGGCCUUGUCUCAGGAUGGUAAGUUGGUGGUUGAAGAUAUCCCUCUAGUGGUGUGGGGGCUGUGCUUUGGCAAAGUGGGUGGGGUUAUACCCUUCCUGUUUGGCCCUGUCCGGGGGUAUCAUCGGAUGGGACCACAGUGUCUCCUGACCCCUCCUGUCUCAGCCUCCAGUAUUUAUGCUGCAGUAGUUUGUGUCGGGGGGCUAGGGUCAGUUUGUUAUAUCUGGAGUACUUCUCCUGUCUUAUCCGGUGUCCUGUGUGAAUUUAAGUAUGCUCUCUCUAAUUCUCUCUUUCUCUCUCUCGGAGGACCUGAGCCCUAGGACCAUGCCUCAGGACUACCUGGCAUGAUGACUCCUUGCUGUCCCCAGUCCACCUGGCCAUGCUGCUGCUCCAGUUUGAACUGUUCUGCCUGCGGCUAUGGAAUCCUGACCUGUUCACCGGACAUGCUACCUGUCCCAGACCUGCUGUUUUCAACUCUCUAGAGACAGCAGGAGUGUUAGAAAUACUUUUAAUGAUCGGCUAUGAAAAGCCAACUGACAUUUACUCCUGAGGUGCUGACUUGCUGCACCCUCGACAACUGCUGUGAUUAUUAUUAUUUGACCAUGCUGUUCAUUUAUUAACAUUUGAACAUCUUGGGCAUGUUCUGUUAUAAUCUCCACCCGGCACAGCCAGAAGAGGACUGGCCACCCCUCAUAGCCUGGUUCCUCUAGGUUUCUUCCUAGCCACUGUGCUUCUACACCUGCAUUGCUUGCUGUUUGGGGUUUUAGGCUGGGUUUCUGUACAGCACUUUGAGAUAUCAGCUGAUGUACGAAGGUCUUUAUAAUUCCAUUUUGAUUUGAUCUUUUCACAAAUAGUUUAAUGAGUAAUCACAUACGUUUCACAAUAUUUAGAUGUAAACCUGACAGCUGGGAAAUGUACAGGGAGCCACAAUCUACACCCAGAAAGGGCCACAUCAUGACACUAUUUUGACGACUCUCAAAUAUAAAAUAUAUUUUGAUUUAACACUUUUUUUGGUUACUACAUGAUUCCGUAUGUGUUAUUUCAUAGUUUUAAUGUCAUCACUAUUAUUCUACAAUGUAGAAAGAAAAACCCUUGAAUGAGUAGGUGUGUCCAUACUUUUGACUGGUACUGUACAUGUCUUUUAUCUGAACUGUUACAUUGUAGAGCCUAGAGGCCCAGAGACUUUGGAUGGGACCCCUGUUUCCAGGCAGACUGAUAUGACAAAACAAAAGCAGGACCUAAUGCAGGACAUUUAUUUUACUGGGUUUAUGCAUCACACUUUACCUGUCUUUUAUUGAACCAAUUGACAGAAACUAAUGAUAGUGAUUAUUCCCAGUUUCACUGAUGAUUUGUAAGUUCUCUCUCUCUCGCUCUAUCAUCCCUGUAGUUAUGCUGAGCUACCCAAGGAGGUGAAGAACACCAUUUCCCAUCGGUAUCAAGCUCUGGCAGCCAUGUCUGGACACUUCUCCUCUCAGGACAAUGGCACACCAGACAGCAAGAAGAAGUAAUGGCUAUUAACCCCUGAUCUAGCAUCAGAUCACAUAACCAUUAGAGGGAUACAAAAUCUGACCCUGUAUCAGUGGUGGGGCAACUUCUACCUACUCUGACUUAUGGGUAUCAGAGUCUGAGCCAAUCAAACAGUUCUGAUGUUGAAUUUAGAUAGUGGUGCUUUUGAUACAGUGCCUUCAAAAAGUAUUCACACCCCUUGACUCUUUCCACAGUUUGAUGUGUUACACACGGGAUUCAAAUUGAAAAAGAAUUGUCAACGAUCUACACAAAAUACUCUACAAUGUCUAAGUUGAAGAUUUUUUAAAUCAACUUAUAAAACACACUAAUAUGUCUUGAUUCGAUAAGUAUUCAACCCCCUGAGUCAAUACAUGUUAGAAUCACCUUUGGCAGUGAUUACACCUGUGAGUCUUUCUGGGUAAGUUUCUAAGAGCUUUGCAUACCUGGAUUGUACAAUAUAUACAAAUUAGUAUACUUUUUUUUCAAGCUCUGUCAAGUUGUUAGUUGAUCAUUACAACACAGCCAUUUAAGUCUUGCCAUAGUUUUAAGUCAAAACUGUAACUAGGUCACUCGGGAACAUUACAUGUUGUCUUGGUAAGCAACUCCAGUAUAUAAUUGGCCUUGUGUUUUAGAUUAUUGUCCUGAAAAUAUGUAGAAUGGUGCUUUUGUGUUGGAUUUGCCCCAAACAACACUUUGUUUUCAGGACAUAAAGUUAAUUUCUUUGGUACAUUUUUUGCAGUUUUACGUUAGUGCCUUAUUGCAAAAAGGAUGCAUGUUUUGGAAUAUUUUUUUUGUUACUGGCUUUCUUCUUUUCACUCUGUCAUUUAGGUUAGUAUUGUGGAGUAACUACAAUUUUUUUGAUCCAUCCUCAGUUUUCUGCUAUCACAGCCUCAUUGUGAAAUCCCUGAGCAGUUUCCUUCCUCUCAGGCAACUGAGUUAGGAAGGACGCCUGUAUUUUUGUAGUGAUUGGGUGUACACCAUCCAAAGUGUAAUUAAUAACUUCUCCAUGCUCAAAGGGAUGUUAAAUAUCUACUUUUUAAUAUUUACCCACCUACCAAUAGGUGCCCUUUGCGAGGCUUUGGAAAACCUUGCUGGUCUUUGUUUCAAUCUGUUUUUGAAAUUCACUGCUUGACUGAGAGACCUUAAAGAUCAUUUUAUGUGUGGUGUGCAGAGAUGAGGUAGUCAUUCAUGUUAAACACAAUUAUUGCAUCUGUGCAACUUGUGACUUGUUAAGCAUAUUUUUACUCUUGAACUUAUUUAGGCUUGCCAUAACAAAGGGGUGGAAUACAAUAUUGACUCGAGACAUUUGAGCUUUUAAUUUGUACACAUUUCUAAAAACCUAAUUCCACUUUGACAUUAUGGAGUCUUGUGUGUAGGCCAGUGACACAAAAUCUCAAUUUAAUCGAUUUUAAAUUCAGGCUGUAACACAACAAAAUGUGGGGGAAAGUGAAGGGGUUUGAAUACUUUCUGAAGGCCCUCUAUAUGCUUUCCUUAAACUGGAAGAACUCAAGAUAUAUUGUGUCCUUUGUCCAACCUGGAUUAUGUGGAUUUAGAACCAAGACUUUUUGCUUUCUAGAGUGCAGACUCCAAAUCAGGACUAUACUCAUACUGUAUGUGUGAUGUGUUACUGAGGCAGGUUCUGUGAGUGUGUAUGGAGUGCCCCAAGAGAAGUGUAUAAUAAACCAUAAACAUUCUGCCA